rnacentral:rRNA from 1 species
ACUCAAAUGAAUUGACGGGGGCCCGCACAAGCGGUGGAGCAUGUGGUUCAAUUCGAUGCAACGCGAAGAACCUUACCGGGGUUUGAACUGUAAUAGAAGUACUCAGAGAUGAGUAUGCUUAGCAAUAAGCUGUUACAGAGGUGCUGCAUGGCUGUCGUCAGCUCGUGUCGUGAGAUGUUGGGUUAAGUCCCGCAACGAGCGCAACCCUUGCUGUUAGUUGCUCACUCGCAAGAGUAGCACUCUAACUAGGACUGCUGGUGAUAAACCGGAGGAAGGUGGGGAUGACGUCAAGUCAUCAUGGCCUUUAUGUCCCGGGCUACACACGUGCUACAAUGGCUGGUACAAAGGGUUGCUAAACCGCGAGGUGGAGCCAAUCCCAGAAAGCCAGCCUCAGUUCGGAUUGCACUCUGCAACUCGAGUGCAUGAAGGUGGAAUCGCUAGUAAUCGCGGAUCAGCAUGCCGCGGUGAAUACGUUUCCGGGCCUUGCACACACCGCCCGU